UAGCGGCAGGCUUAACACAUGCAAGUCGAGGGGUAUUGGUUUUCGGACCAAGAGACCGGCGCACGGGUGCGUAACGCGUAUGCAAUCUACCUUUUACAGAGGGAUAGCCCAGAGAAAUUUGGAUUAAUACCUCAUAGUAUAUAGACCUGGCAUCAGGAUUAUAUUAAAGUCACAACGGUAAAAGAUGAGCAUGCGUCCCAUUAGCUAGUUGGUAAGGUAACGGCUUACCAAGGCUACGAUGGGUAGGGGUCCUGAGAGGGAGAUCCCCCACACUGGUACUGAGACACGGACCAGACUCCUACGGGAGGCAGCAGUGAGGAAUAUUGGACAAUGGGCGCAAGCCUGAUCCAGCCAUGCCGCGUGCAGGAUGACGGUCCUAUGGAUUGUAAACUGCUUUUAUACGAGAAGAAACACUGAUUCGUGAAUCAGCUUGACGGUAUCGUAAGAAUAAGGAUCGGCUAACUCCGUGCCAGCAGCCGCGGUAAUACGGAGGAUCCAAGCGUUAUCCGGAAUCAUUGGGUUUAAAGGGUCCGUAGGCGGUUUAGUAAGUCAGUGGUGAAAGCCCAUCGCUCAACGGUGGAACGGCCAUUGAUACUGCUGAACUUGAAUUAUUAGGAAGUAACUAGAAUAUGUAGUGUAGCGGUGAAAUGCUUAGAGAUUACAUGGAAUACCAAUUGCGAAGGCAGGUUACUACUAAUGG
rnacentral:rRNA from 1 species